CCCCACACAAAUAAGCCGGCCCUGUCUGCGUCAUAGAGUAGUCAGUGGUGUGCUCGUAGUGGGAACAGAAAUGUCUUUUCUAGUGUAUGGUGGCUUGGCGUUCAUCUAAGACCAUCAAAGGAAGAUUAGAGACAUUA